GUCUACAGCCAUGCCACCUUGAACAAGCCUGAUCCUGUCUGAUCUUGGAAGCUAAGCAGGGUCAGGCCUGGUUAGUAAUUGGAUAGGAGACCACCUAAGAAGACCAGGUGCUGUAGGCA
rnacentral:rRNA from 1 species